rnacentral:rRNA from 1 species
UACGAACUGUGCAAACGUUAUUCGGAAUCACUGGGCUUACAGGGUGCGUAGGCGGCUUGUUAAGCAGGGUGUGAAAUCCCUCGGCUCAACCGAGGAAUUGCGCCUUGAACUGGCGAGCUAGAGUGGGACAGAGGUGCGCGGAACUUCCAGUGGAGCGGUGAAAUGUGUUGAUAUUGGAAGGAACGCCGGAGGCGAAAGCGGCGCACUGGGUCUUAACUGACGCUGAGGCACGAAAGCCAGGGGAGCAAACGGG